CUGCCCAAUGAUUUAUUUAAUGGCCGCGGUAUUUUGACCGUGCAAAGGUAGCAUAAUCAUUAGUUUAUUAAUUGUGGACUUGUAUGAAUGGUUGGACGAGAUAUUGACUGUCUCAUAUUUAUUUAUUGAAUUUAAUUUUUUAGUUAAAAAGCUUAAAUUUUAUUGUAAGACGAGAAGACCCUAUAGAUCUUUAUUUUUAUAUAAAAAUUUAUUUUUUUAGUUUCUUUUUUUAAAUUUUUAUUGAAUUUUUUGUUGGGGUGACACGGAGAUAUAAUUAACUCUUUAUUUUAAAUACAAUUAUUUUUGAUUUUUUGACCUUUUAUUAUUGUUUAAAGAUAUAGAUACCUUAGGGAUAACAGCGUAAUUUUUUUUAAGAGUUCUUAUCGACAAUAAAGAUUGCGACCUCGAUGUUGGAUUAAGAAUAUUUUAAGGUGUAGGUGCUUUACAAAUUAGGUCUGUUCGACCUUUAAAUUCUUACAUGAUCUGAGU
rnacentral:rRNA from 1 species